rnacentral:lncRNA from 1 species
UAUGGUGAUGAACUCUUCCAUAGAAAACAAUAAAGUGCUUUACAAGCCGUACAUCUCACAAAAAAGCUGUGAACAUCCAGGUUUUGAAUUUACAUUGUAUCAUAUUACAUUAUUUCCUUGAAAGUAAUGGAGACCCAGAUAUCCACUAGAGGCCAUCUACUAAAAAUUCAUUCAUUUCUGAAAUUGACUUUCUUCAUACAAACUCUUGAUGUACAAAAUAUUGGCUUAAUAGUUUUGUAGUGUGUGUACAAUGACAACGGAGUCCCCUAAAUUUUCUAACUCUCAAAAGCAGAGGAGAACAUAUGUAAGUGUUUCAAAGAGAAGACAGCAUUGCAAAAGAACACAGAAUGGUCAUUAAAUCAUGCUAAUAUCUUUUUGUAGGUUAAAAAAAAUUGUUAAAUUUUAACAAUUUCAAGAUUGAGUUUUUCAUCCUAAAAUGUUGAUGGUAAGAUAUUUGAGAAUGAUAUUUUACUUGUGACAUUUGAAGUGAAUUACUCUUUAAGAAUUAUUUCUUUAUACAAUGCCUUAUCUGAUUUAUUAUAUCCUUACUUUACAAAGGAAAUGAUGAUAUUAUGUAUAUGUGAAACUAAACAUUUACAACAAUUUAAGUUAUAUAU